AACGAACGCUGGCGGCAGGCUUAACACAUGCAAGUCGAACGCAUCGCAAGAUGAGUGGCAGACGGGUGAGUAACGCGUGGGAAUCUACCCAUCUCUGCGGAAUAGCUCUGGGAAACUAGAAUUAAUACCGCAUACGCCCUACGGGGGAAAGAUUUAUCGGGGAUGGAUGAGCCCGCGUUGGAUUAGCUAGUUGGUGGGGUAAAGGCCUACCAAGGCGACGAUCCAUAGCAGGUCUGAGAGGAUGAUCAGCCACAUUGGGACUGAGACACGGCCCAAACUCCUACGGGAGGCAGCAGUGGGGAAUAUUGGACAAUGGGCGCAAGCCUGAUCCAGCCAUGCCGCGUGAGUGAUGAAGGCCUUAGGGUUGUAAAGCUCUUUCACCGAUGAAGAUAAUGACGGUAGUCGGAGAAGAAGCCCCGGCUAACUUCGUGCCAGCAGCCGCCGUAA
rnacentral:rRNA from 1 species